AAAAAAUAAAUUUUUGUUGUAACUUAACCGCUACCGCCCGCAACCGCAAACGCUUGCGGGAAGGAGCUUUUGAGAUCUGACGAUUUCGAGCGGUCCAAAGCGGUAUCUAGCGGUUUUUAUGAUUGGUGCCAAUCGCUAACAACCGCUACCACCCGCAAACGCUGCGUUUGCGGGUGGCAGAGGGAGAACCAAUCAAGCCCUUAGUUAUUAUAAAAAGGACAGUUUCUAUAUGUUAAUAGAUUGAGCUGUGGCCCAAUAACAAUAAGAAGUGUUCAAACAAGUUAGAGAAAAAUCCACAACACUCAAACAUUAUUGGUGUUGACAAUUGAAUAAUGGGUUCAAACUUAAUUGCUCUAACAAAAAUGAACUACAAAUUAUUGUUCAUAUAAUUAAAUAUGAAUUUUAACUGGUGUCAGUUGACCCCAUAUCCUACAACAUAGGUCUGUAAGUGUUUGGCCUUUAUGUGUUAGAGUGAAUGAUUUUUUAGAUAAAGAAAGCAUUUUGAAAAGAUGGAAUCUAUCAUGAUCGAUAUGAAUUUCUUAUACUUGAGAAAUUU
rnacentral:sRNA from 1 species